UUUUAUGAGAGUUUGAUCCUGGCUCAGGACGAACGCUGGCGGCGUGCCUAAUACAUGCAAGUCGAACGCUUCUUUUUCCACCGGAGCUUGCUCCACCGGAAAAAGAGGAGUGGCGAACGGGUGAGUAACACGUGGGUAACCUGCCCAUCAGAAGGGGAUAACACUUGGAAACAGGUGCUAAUACCGUAUAACAAUCRAAACCGCAUGGUUUUGAUUUGAAAGGCGCUUUCGGGUGUCGCUGAUGGAUGGACCCGCGGUGCAUUAGCUAGUUGGUGAGGUAACGGCUCACCAAGGCCACGAUGCAUAGCCGACCUGAGAGGGUGAUCGGCCACAUUGGGACUGAGACACGGCCCAAACUCCUACGGGAGGCAGCAGUAGGGAAUCUUCGGCAAUGGACGAAAGUCUGACCGAGCAACGCCGCGUGAGUGAAGAAGGUUUUCGGAUCGUAAAACUCUGUUGUUAGAGAAGAACAAGGAUGAGAGUAACGGUUCAUCCCUGGACGGUAUCUAACCAGAAAGCCAGGGCUAACUACGUGCCAGCAGCCGCGGUAAUAAGUAGGAGGCAAGCGGUGUCCGGAAUUAUUGGGCGUAAAGCGAGGGCAGGCGGUUUCUUAAGGCUGACGAGCAAGCUCCCGGCUCAACCGGGGAGGGUCAUUGGA
rnacentral:rRNA from 1 species